GGGAAUUUAGCUCAGUGGUAGAGCGCUUGCCUAGCAAGUGCAAGGCCCUGGGUUCAGUUCCCA
rnacentral:tRNA from 1 species